rnacentral:rRNA from 1 species
AUUGAACGCUGGCGGCAUGCUUUACACAUGCAAGUCGAACGGUAACAGGGUGCUUGCACCGCUGACGAGUGGCGAACGGGUGAGUAAUGCGUCGGAACGUGCCGAGUAGUGGGGGAUAACGCAGCGAAAGUUGUGCUAAUACCGCAUACGUACUGAGGUAGAAAGUGGGGGACCUUCGGGCCUCACGCUAUUCGAGCGGCCGACGUCUGAUUAGCUAGUAGGUGAGGUAAAGGCUCACCUAGGCGACGAUCAGUAGCGGGUCUGAGAGGAUGAUCCGCCACACUGGGACUGAGACACGGCCCAGACUCCUACGGGAGGCAGCAGUGGGGAAUUUUGGACAAUGGGCGAAAGCCUGAUCCAGCCAUGCCGCGUGUCUGAAGAAGGCCUUCGGGUUGUAAAGGACUUUUGUCGGGGAGGAAAUCCCCAGCGCUAAUACCGCCGGGGGAUGACAGUACCCGAAGAAUAAGCACCGGCUAACUACGUGCCAGCCGCCGCGGUAACAC